CUCAACUCUCACCUAUAUAUACAUCUGUUGAAGUGUCACUAAUUUCAAGCAAUUCGCACAAAAAACUAAAACUAAUAUCAAACAAGAUCAAGAUCAAAAAUGGAGAAGAAAUUCUUUGGGCUUUUUAUUGUGCUUCUCUUCUUAUUUGCUUCUGAGAUGAACAUGGUGGUUGAGGUUGAUGGUGCCAAUUGCGCAAAACCGAGCAAGUUUUACCGUGGUCCUUGCUUUAAUAGUAUUUCUGUAAAGCCUUGUACUCAGAGAUGUAGCCAAGAGAAUUGGCCUAUCGGAGUGUGUACCAAAGAUCUCAGAUGUGAAUGCCAAAGACCUUGUUAAACAGUGUAUGGUGGACAAGAGACGAUAAAAUGGCAUACUUGUGAUGAUGUCAUAAAUCAAUAAUUUAAUAUACUACUAUUAUUAUAUAAAAUAAAUGGCUGUCUUUCUGGUUAGCUUUUGAAAUGGCCGUUAUGUAUUAAUGUGCUCUUUUGAUCCUUGUACUUUUAAA